ACCUGGCAAGACAAGUUUCAAACAGGUCUGUUCAAUUUUUGAAGGGUCACCUCAAAAGACUUGUCAGAAGCAUACAAAUCCUCAUAUCUAUAUAUAUUAUCAUAUAAUAAUUUUUUUGCAGAUAUGACUGUAGCCUACAGUAUUUAAGGCCUACUUCAAAAAAUGUUUUGUUUGUUUGUUUUCGAUCUACUGAUGUAAGUGCACAACAGCAUCGUAAAGUAUAACCAUGUUUUUGUACUCCAUUUUUAUGGCAAAUUUACAUUUUUUAAACUAUAUACACUCUUUGAAUAUUACUGUAUUGUAAAAUCCUACAAAACCGUCAUAUAUUUCUUUUGUGAUGCAUAUAUGUACAGUAAAUGAUAUUAGUCUGUUCUGCAUCCCCUUUGGCCAUAGGCAUUGGUGAUGAAAGCAUUAUAAAAGCCAAUGCUGCUGCUAUUGUUAUACAGCAUUAAUUUCUUCUGUUUCUUUCAGAACUAUAAAAACAGAGAUAUAGAAGACCGAAAGCUUAAAAAGACAGGUGGUGGUCCACGAGAAAAAAAUAUUAAAAGCUUCAGAAGAAACUGCCUUAACAGCAUCACUGAUGAGGGCCGAGUUAGCAGUGGCUGGUGAUUUUUACGAGACCUUCCGCAGUCACCCAGUAGAUGAAGAAAUAAUUCCUUAUAGAAUGUGCAGAUAGUUUUGCCUGUUCCAACUCCAGGGCCAUCAACUGUGCUCACCAGUCAUUGUUCCUGCCUCGACAGUGAAUGCUCCUACCUCACCAGUGAAUGCUCCUGCCUCACCAGUCAUUGUUGCUUCACCAGUCAUUGUUCCUGCCUCACCAGUCCUUGCUCCUGCCUCACCAACACUGGAGCAGGUUCAGAAAUAUAAAAACAGAGAUAUAAAAGACCGAAAACUUGAGGGCCGAGUUAGCAGUGGCUGAUGAUUUUUACGAGACUUUCCGCAAUCACCCAGUAGAUGAAGAAAUAAUUCCUUGUGGAAUGUGCA
rnacentral:lncRNA from 1 species